GAGGAUGGUCAGCCACACUGGGACUGAGACACUGCCCAGACUCCUACGGGGGGCUGCAGUCGAGGAUCAUUUGCAAUGCGCGGAAGCGUGACAAUGCGACGCUGCGUGGAGGAUGAAGGCUUUCGGGUCGUAAACUCCUGUCAUUCGGGAAAAAUAGGCCUGAGGUUAAUAGCCUCGGGAUUUGAUGGUACCGAAAGAGGAAGCCACGGCUAACUCUGUGCCAGCAGCCGCGGUAAUACAGAGGUGGCGAGCGUUGUUCGGAUUUACUGGGCGUAAAGGGUGCGUAGGUGGCUUUGUGUGUCGGACGUGAAAGCCCACGGCUCAACCGUGGAAUUGCAUUCGAAACUGCAGAGCUAGAGUACAGGAUGGGAGAGCGGAAUUCUUGGUGUAGCGGUGAAAUGUGUUGAUAUCAAGAAGAACACCGGUGGCGAAGGCGGCUCUCUGGAAUGUUACUGACACUGAGGCACGAAAGCUGGGGGAGCGAACAGGAUUAGAUACCCUGGUAGUCCCAGCCGUAAACGGUGUGCACUUGGUGUGGGGGGAAUUGACCCCCCCCGUGCCGGAGCUAACGCGUUAAGUGCACCGCCUGGGGAGUACGGCCGCAAGGCUAAAACUCAAAGAAAUUGACGGGGGCCCGCACAAGCGGAGGAGCAUGUGGCUUAAUUCGAUGCAACGCGAAGAACCUUACCAGGGCUUGACAUGUAACUGCAACUCCUGUGAAAGCAGGAUUCCUUCGAGGGUGUUACACAGGUGCUGCAUGGCUGUCGUCAGUUCGUGCCGUGAGGUGUUGGGUUAAGUCCCGCAACGAACGCAACCCCUGUGUUUAGUUGCCACCGCGGGUGAUGAGCCCGCGAGCACUCUAGACAGACUGCCCGUACAAGCGGGAGGAAGGUGGGGACGACGUCAAGUCAGUAUGGCCCUUACGCCCUGGGCUGCACACGUGCUACAAUGGCAGGUACAGAGGGACGCAAAAUCGCGAGGUGGAGCAAAUCCUCAAAACCUGCCUCAGUUCGGAUUGGAGUCUGCAACUCGACUCCAUGAAGUCGGAUUCGCUAGUAACGGCGCAUCAGCUACGGCGCCGUGAAUACGUUCCCGGGCCUUGUACACACCGCCCGUCACAUCAUGAAAGCCGUCUGCACCCGAAGUCGCUGAGCCAACCCGCAAGGGAGGCAGGCGCCGAAGGUGUGGGUGGUGAUUGGGAUGAAGUCGGAACAAGGUA
rnacentral:rRNA from 1 species